GAAGCGCGAACCAAGCGGCGGCGAAAACCGCGCAAGACUCGGAGCGGACGGCCGCAGGACCGUCCUGCA
ncrna:Bifidobacterium longum subsp. infantis ATCC 15697 Transposase-2 RNA